AAGGAUUUAAGUUAAAACAAACUAAUAGCCUUCAAAGCUAUAAACAGAAUAAAAGAGUUCUAAGCCUUA
rnacentral:tRNA from 1 species